rnacentral:rRNA from 1 species
UACGGGGGGGGCAAGCGUUGUUCGGAAUUACUGGGCGUAAAGGGCGCGUAGGCGGCCUGUUAAGUCGAACGUGAAAUCCCCGGGCUCAACCCGGGAACUGCGUCCGAUACUGGCAGGCUUGAAUCCGGGAGAGGGAUGCGGAAUUCCAGGUGUAGCGGUGAAAUGCGUAGAUAUCUGGAGGAACACCGGUGGCGAAGGCGGCAUCCUGGACCGGCAUUGACGCUGAGGCGCGAAAGCUAGGGGAGCAAACAGG